CAGUUGAGCGCUUUCUCAGUCUCUGGCACAUUCAGUAGAGCAUGGCUGCAAUGGGACUCUUCCUCCUCACACUCCUGAUCUCUGUUCAUGGGACCAGCGCUGAGAUCAUCAUGACUCAAAGUCCCACAGUGGAGUCUGUUGCUGUUGGAGGGAGCGUCACUCUUAACUGCAGGGCCAGCAGCUCUGUUUCCAAUUAUGUAGCCUGGUAUCAGCAGAGACCUGGAGAAAGUCCUAAACUCCUGUUCUACUAUGUGGGUAACAGAGUGUCAGGGACUCCAGCCCGAUUCACUGAUGGCCAGUCUGGAACCAAAUUCACGCUGAAAAUCAGUGGAGUCCAGGCUGAAGAUGCAGGAGAUUACUACUGUCAACAGGGUAAUACAUACACUUUUGGUGGAGGCACUAGACUGAAUGUCUGAAGUAACAGCCAGCCGGUCCUGACUGUACUUACUCCCUCGAAUGCGGAAGGCACCAGCAAGGGGACGGCGACGCUGAUGUGCCUGGCGAGGCAGGGCUUCCCGUCGGACUGGACGCUGCGCUGGAAGGUGGACGGUCUGAGCAAGAGCACCGCGGGCAGCGGAGGCGUCAUGGGGAAGGACGGUCUGUACAGCUGGAGCAGCACUUUGACCCUCACUAAUGCGGAGUGGACCAAGGCGGUCACAGUGACCUGCGAGGCCACGCAGGGUUCCCAAUCUCCGGUCGCUCAUAUGAUAAGGAAAGCCGACUGCUCCGUGUAGGCAGUGUUAAACAGUUGAUUGCCGUUGUUACCCAGCUCAAAAUGCCGCUUUUCUCCAUGCCGCGAUUUAUUAAAAUGAAGUAGGCUUUUCUUGUCGUAUUCAGGUUAUCGUUGCAACAAUAAAUGUGCUCUGUUUUAGUUCACUAUUAGAUAUGUAUGUGCUAUGUGCUGAUUGAUGGGUUAUACAUAUAACCGAGAACAAUAAACAAAUAUAUGUGAAUCAA